GACUCCGUAGCUUGAAGCAAUAGAAGCGCCCGUCUAGCGAAUUGGGAGUCGUGAGUUCGAGUCUCACCGGAGUAC
rnacentral:tRNA from 1 species